CCUACGGGAGGCAGCAGUGAGGAAUAUUGGUCAAUGGACGAGAGUCUGAACCAGCCAAGUAGCGUGAAGGAUGACUGCCCUAUGGGUUGUAAACUUCUUUUAUAAAGGAAUAAAACGAGGCACGUGUGCCUUUUUGCAUGUACUUUAUGAAUAAGGAUCGGCUAACUCCGUGCCAGCAGCCGCGGUAAUACGGAGGAUCCGAGCGUUAUCCGGAUUUCUUGGGUUUAAAGGGAGCGUAGAUGGGUUGUUAAGUCAGUUGUGAAAGUUUGCGGCUCAACCGUAAAAUUGCAAUUGAUACUGGCAGUCUUGAGUACAGUUGAGGUAGGCGGAAUUCGGGGUGUAGCGGUGAAAUGCUUAGAUAUCACGAAGAACCCCGAUUGCGAAGGCAGCUUACUAAACUGUGACUGACAUUGAUGCUCGAAAGUGUGGGUAUCAAACAGGAUUAGAUACCCUGGUAGUC
rnacentral:rRNA from 1 species